rnacentral:rRNA from 1 species
AAAUUGAAGAGUUUGAUCAUGGCUCAGAUUGAACACUGGCGGCAGGCCUAACACAUGCAAGUCGAACGGUAACAGGAAGCAGCUUGCUGCUUUGCUGACGAGUGGCGGACGGGUGAGUAAUGUCUGGGAAACUGCCUGAUGGAGGGGGAUAACUACUGGAAACGGUGGCUAAUACCGCAUAACGUCGCAAGACCAAAGAGGGGGACCUUCGGGCCUCUUGCCAUCAGAUGUGCC